AGGUCUAAAAAAAUCGCUCUCUCUCACAAUUUGUUUGUUGUCGUUCUCUUUCACAUCCGUUAGCGAAGGCGACGAUCAUCGUCCUUGUUCUUCUUCUCUGCAAGAUAACUAUUUGAUCGUAGAAGUUGAUUGUGAUGCAACCAACUUGAGGAGAUGAUCAAGCUGAAUUAUCGGAAGCUUGCUUGAACUGAAGCGGCAUCCUUGGUGAUAUAUGAUGGCUACUUACGAAACUUCAAGGAGACUAAUGAAGCUUUUACUGGUAAAGUGGAAUCUCUUCUCUUUGCUUUUAUGUUUUGUUUUAAAGUUUUCUGUUUUCUUAAAACCCAAAAGAAAGGGACUACACAUUAUAUGAUUGUGUCUGUCCGGUUUCUAACUUGGGGAAAUUGUCCGUAAGGGAAAGGCUUGUCACAAUACUAUCUAUGGUCCCAAGAGACUUAAAUCUCUAUUGCCUUGCUGUGCGCUAAAAGACCUUUAAUAAGGCUUGGACAAUGUCCUGAGAAAGUUCAAUAUCUCUGCUAAUUUGAUGGAGGAUAAAAAGUUCUUAAAAGGGAAAUCUCUGUCCGAUUAAAAAGCUCACUGAGCUAAGUAAGACAGCAAGUCAGCUAUGGUCCCAAAAAGACUGAAACUUCAAUAUCUCUGCUAAAAGACCUUUUUUAAGGCUUGGACAAUGUCCUGAGAAAGUUCAAUAUCUCUGCUAAUUUGAUGGAGAAUAAAAAGUUAUAGAAAGGGAAAUCUCUGUCCGAUCAAAAGCUCACUGAGCUAAGUAAGACAACAAGUCAGCUAUGGUCCCAAAAAGUCUGAAACUUCAAUAUCUCUGCUAAAAGACCUUUUUUAAGGUUUGGACAAUGUCCUGAGAAAGUUCAAUCUCUCUGCUAAUUUGAUGGAGAAUAGAAAGUUCUAGAAAGGGAAAUCUCUGUCCGAUCAAAAGCUCACUGAGCUAAGUAAGACAACAAGUCAGCUAUGGUCCCAAAAAGACUGAAACUUCAAUAUAUCGGCUAAAAGACCUUUUUUAAGGCUUGGACAAGGCCCUGAGAAAGUUCAAUAUCUCUGCUAAUUUGAUGAAGGAUAAAAAGUUCAGUAAAAGGGAAAUCUCUGUCCGAUCAAAAGCUCACUGAGCUAAGCUAAGACAGCAAGUCAGCUAUGGUCCCAAAAAGACUGAAACUUCAAUAUCUCUGCUAAAAGACCUUUUUUAAGGCUUGGACAAUGUCCUGAGAAAGUUCAAUCUCUCUGCUAAUUAGAUGGAGGAUAAAAAGUUCUAAAAAGGGAAAUCUCUAAACGAUUUAAAGCUCAUUGAGCUAAGACAGCAAGUUAGAUACUAUGGUCCGAGAUUAAAAGCUCAUUGAGCUAAGACAGCAAGUCAGAUACUAUGGUCCGAGAUUAAAAGCUCACGGAUCUAAGACAACAAGUCAGAUACUAUGGUCCGAGAUUAAAAGCUCACUGAGCUAAGACAGCAAGUUUGUGCUGGGACAGCUUGACAAAAAAUUCAAUAUCUCUGCUAAAAGACUUCAUUAAGGCAUGGACAAUGUCCUGAGAAAGUUCAAUAUCUCUGCUAAUUUGAUGGAGGAUAAAAAGUUCUAAAAUGGGAAAUCUCUAAACAAUUUAAAGCUCACUGAGCUAAGACAACAACUCAGAUACUAUGGUCCAAGAUUAAAAGCUCACUGAGCUAAGACAGCAAGUCAGAUACUAUGGUCCGAGAUUAAAAGCUUACUGAGCUAAGACAGCAAGUUUGUGCUGGGACAGCUUGACAGAAAAUUCAAUAUCUUUGCUAAAAGACCUUUAUUAAGGCAUGGACAAUGUCCUGAGAAAGUUCAAUAUCUCUGCUAAUUUGAUGGAGGAUAAAAAUUUAUAAAAAGGGAAAUUUCUAAACGAUUUAAAGCUCACUGAGCUAAGACAGCAAAUCAGAUACUAUGGUCCCAAAAAUAUUAGAGAUUUCAAUCUCUACUGUCUUGUUGUGCUGGGACAGCUUGACAGAAACUUCAAUAUCUCUGUUAAGACCUUUAUUAAGGCAUGGACCAUGUCCUGAGAAAAUUCAAUCUCUUUGCUAAUUUGAUGGAGAAUAAAAAGUUCUUUUAAGGGAAAGUAAUAAGGCAAUGUUCUGUCCGAUUAAAAGAUGUCUUGCUGUGCUGGGACAGCUUGAAAGAAACUUCAAUAUCUGUGCUAAGACCUUCCUUAAGGCUGGGAAAAUGUUGUCCUAAGAACAUUCAAUAUCUGUGCUUAAACUGUAAGAUUCAAUAAUCUGCAAAUUUGAUGGAGAAUAAAAGUCCUUAUAUAAAGGCUUCUUUAGUGGCUUUCUAAUAAGGGGAAGCUCAAGUGUUCGAUUAAAAGCUAUCUUGUUGUAGUUGGGACAGAAAGUUACAUUCUAAUACUCUGCUCUAGAGAAACCUUCAAUCUCUGCCAAGAUCAGCCUUUUAAAGGCUUGUAUAAUGAUGGCUCUAGUGUACGAUGGAAAAAAAAAGUUCUGAUGUAGCUGGGACAGCAUGUAACACAUUCAAUAUCUCUGCUAAUUUGAUGGAGAAUAAAAAGUUCUAGAAAGGGAAAUCUCUAUCCGAUCAAAAGCUCACUGAGCUAAGUAAGACAACAAGUCAGCUAUGGUCCCAAAAAGACUGAAACUUCAAUAUCUCUGCUAAAGGACCUUUUUUAAGGCUUGGACAAUGUCCUGAGAAAGUUCAAUCUCUCUGCUAAUUUGAUGGAGAAUAAAAAUUUCUUAUAAAGGAAAUCUCUGUCUGAUUAAAAGGUACUUGAUGGAGCUAAGACAGCAAGUCAGAUGCUAUGAUACAUGUAGCUGAUCAGGCCAUUUCUAAGCCUUGACAGCAACUUCAAUAUCUCUGCUAAGACCUUUAUUAAGGCAUGGACAAUGUCCUGAGAAAAUUCAAUCUUUCUGCUAAUUUGAUGGAGAAUAAAAAGUUCUUAUAACGGAAUGUAAUAAGGAAAUGUUCUGUCCGAUUGAAAGAUGUCUUGCUGUGCUGGGACAGCUUGAAAGAAAUUUCAAUAUCUGUGCUGAAAGACCUACAUUAAGGCUUGGACAAUGUCCUGAGAAAAUUCAAUCUCUCUGCUAAUUUGAUGGAGAAUAAAAAGUUCUUAUGAUAGAAAUCUCUGUCUGAUUAAAAGGUAACUUGAUGGAACUAAGACAACAAGUCAGAUGCUAUGAUACAUGUAGCUGAUCGGGCCAUCUCUAAGCCUUGACAGAAAAUUCAAUAUCUAUGCUGAAAGACCUUUAUUAAGGCAUGGACACUGUCCUGAGAAAAUUCAAUCUCUCUGCUAAUUUGAUGGAGAAUAAAAAGUUCUUAUAAGGGAAAGUAAUAAAAGAAUGUUCUGUUCGAUUAAAAAAUGUCUUGCUGUGCUGGGACAGCUUGACAGAAACUUCAAUAUCUCUGCUAAGACCUUCCUUAAGGCUGGGACAAUGUUGUCCUGAGAAAAUUCAAUCUCUCUGCUUAAACUAUAAGAUUCAAUAAUCUGCAAAUUUGAUGGAGAAUAAAAGUCCUUAUAUAAAGGCUUCUUUAGUGGCUUUCUAAUAAGGGGAAGCUCAAGUGUUCGAUUAAAAGCUAUCUUGUUGUAGUUGGGACAGCAAGUUACAUUCUAAUACUCUGCUCUAGAGAAACCUUUAAUCUCUGCCAAGAUCAGCCUUUAAGGCUUGUAUAAUGAUGGCUCUAGUGUACGAUGGAAAAAAAGUUCUGCUGUAGCUGGGACAGCAUGUUAACACAUUCAAUAUUCUGCUAUAGAGAAAGCUUCGAUCUCUGCUAGCUUUAGCCUUUAUGGCUUGUACAAUGAUGUCCGAUGAGAAAAUAUUCUGCUGUAGCUGGGACAGCAUGUGAACACAUUCAAUAUUCUGCUAUAUAGCUUCAAUCUCUGCUAAGUUCAGCCUAUUAAGGCUUGUACAAUGAUGUCAUAAGAAAUUCAAUUCUCUGCUGAAAGUAUAUAAUUCAGUAUUCUGCAAAUUUAAUGGAGAAUUAAAGUCCUUAAUAAGGCUUGUUUAAUGGCUCAGCAAGGAGAUUUCUGCACAACUUCUAUACAGUACUUUAGAAGUAUAGGUAUUGCAGAAGAUCCAACGUGAAGACUACAUCUUUCCCUUCUUUUGAUUAGGAACAAAGGAACUAUUGGUUAGUAUAUCUCCAAGUCCAUGCGACGUUAAACUUCUGACUUUGCCAUCCAUUUAUUGUCUAAAUAAAACCUUUUCACUUCUUUGAAACCAAAGAACAAUGGUUGGAGCUUCUGUGGUGCACGUCGUCUUCCAAACUCCUCUUUCCGAUUAGAUCAGGUAGGUAUCAGGUAUGCAUUCGAUUCCUUAAAUCUACUUGAUACAUCUAUGCAUGUAUUCUUUUAAAAAUUUUAGAAUCGUUGGCUUCAAUUUCUUUCUCUUUUGGCUUCCACUUUAAGUCUUGUUUGACUUGCAUGUGUUUUAAGUUUGUGACAGGUCGCAUGAGGUUCGUUCAAGGUUAUUUGAUUUAGGAAACGGAACCUUAAUUAAGUUCCCACAUUUUUAGUGCUAACACCGAUACAAACUCCUUACACGAACACAUACACUAAACUGAAACAUACACACAAAUGUAACUUCUAUGCUCACGGUGAAACAAAUAUCUGAAAUGCUAUCACUGAUACAAACAUAAACGCAUGACUGUAUGACACGCACACAUACGCUAAAACGUAAACAUAAAUAUUGUUCUCACAAACACGAACGCUAGUAAGUUAUAAAUAAGUUACAACUCUCAGUGCCUUAACAGAACAGCCAACAUGUUUACCAAUCCUAAAGAUUUUGAAUUGUUUUCUUUUAUUAUCGUAUGUAUAUUUCGCAAACGCCAACACAUUUUGUUGCAAUAUUUUAUUUACUAGUAUUAAACCCCGUACGUAAAUAUUUUUAUACAUUCAUAAUGUAGGUAAAAGCAAAAGGAAAAUAAAAAGGAGAAAUCUAUAUAUAUACCAUGAUAAAUCGAUUAUCUAACUGGUAUUUUAUUCCCAGAAAAAAAAAAACAUUGUUUUGAUUUCAGUAGUUUUUGAACACAAAAUACCAAUUGGUCAAUGCUUUCAACACAAAACAAUUGAUUAAACUUUUUUUUUUUUAAACAAAAAAAACUUGUAUUCAGUACCAUAUUUUAAGCAAUUAGAGGUAACAUAUGUGUUGUAUUUUAAAUAUAAUUCAACAAAAGUUAUUUCAAACAAAACAACACAGCUUUUGGGGCUGCUUGCUUUAACCAUUAAAACUUAGUUGCGUCUUAUGUGUGUUUGUGAAUACUUCGACAUUUAAAGCUUUAAACCCUCCAGAAACAGGUUCCAGUAUAAUUUAAUGUGUAUUUGGAAUACAAUUGGAGAAAAAUAGAGAUGACAUAGAUCUAAAGGAUGUCAUAAUUGUUAUAUUGAACUGUUAAAUGAUAGUAGUACCUUUUGAGUGUAUGGCGAUGGACGGCGAGACUAAAAUUAUGGAACAAAUAUUUUAAAUUGAAUAUUGUAAUUUGUUUUGACUAACGUAGUUAUGUAGAGCACAUUGUAGUUACUUAUAGAGAGAGAUAUGAGGCAAUAAAAUAAAUGUAGGGAGAAGAGAAGAAAAAUUCUUGGAAACAAAAUAAACAAACCGUAUAUCAUAUCAUAUUUAUAAAAUAAAUCA